CUCCAGAUGUUCACUGAUGGACUGGAGUGCUGUGGAUUAUUGUGAGGUUUUUAUCUGCUCUCAUUCUGAUGGCACCCAUUCACUGCAGAGCAUCCAUUGAUGUUCACUGAUGGACUGGAGUGCUGUGGAUUAUUGUGAGGUUUUUAUCUGCUCUCAUUCUGAUGGCACCCAUUCACUGCAGAGCAUCCAUUGGUGAAUUUAAUCUUGAAAUAUAAUGACUUUGAUCUUGAGUUGGUUUUAUUAGUGCUUGGCCGUGCAAUCCUCUUUCGUAAGCAUCAGCUCCAGCACGUAACAAAUACACAAAGAUUAAUGGGGACUCGUGUCACUGCGAGGACAUAAACUGUGCUUAUUAGAAAUCAUACAGGAGGAGAUUUUUUUUUUUUUUGGUAAUGUAAUGCUUGUAGUUUUGUGUGAGGUGUAGGUUAAGGGGAUAGAAAAUACAGUUUGUUCAGUACAAUAACCUUUUUAUUGUACCCUUACCAGUGUGUAUAGGCAUAGAGAUCUGUUUUAUUAUUUUAUUAUUAUUAUAAUAUUAAUUUCAUUUAAUAAUAUAUUAGAGACAGGGAUAGGAAGUCUAAGGUGAGAUCUUUACCUAAUCCCAACCAUUUUCCAAAGUUCAGAGAGGGAGGCUCGGGCUGAGGUUAGGAUUUCUGUAAGUCCAAUCGACAGGUCCUGAGGGACCCGAAGACGGUUAUGCACUGUUCUCUAUAUUAGACACAUACAUAGAGGUCCAAACAACCCCCACGUUGCUGACAAGGGGACACACUGAGGGCAAGAUAGUAACACAAAAAAAGUGUACACUAAAACAAAAAAAUUAAACUUAUAAGAGUGUAAGGGAAGAUGAAAGAGUGCUUAAAUAUAUAUAUAUAUAUAUAUAUAUAUAUAUAUAUAUAUAUAUAUAUAUAUAUAUAUAUAUAUAUAUAUAUAUAUAUAUAUAUAUAUAUAUAUAUAUAUUAUGGAGUCGAUUAAUCAUGAUUGAUCAUAUGCAAUGAAUGGGUUAUUUGUCACUGCAUUUAAAUUAUGUAAUAUUAGAUUAGAUUAGAUUAGAUUCAACUUUACUGUCACUGCACAUGUAGGUACAAGGCAACGAAAUGCAGUUAGCAUCUAACCAGAAGUGCAAUAAGCAGUAAGUACAGAAUAAAGGUCUAUUUCACUUUUCAGAAACGCUGUUCUGAGCUAGAUAUGCUUUAAAACAGCUAGUUUCAUCAUAUGCAUGCUCCUGGGAGCAUUUUAGGCAGAAUUGGUCACUUUUGCAUGAAAAGUUACAUUGCCACUAGAAAUAUGCUAUUCUCACUCAGAAACGCUGUUCUGUGCUAGAUAUGCUUUAAAACAGCUAGUUUCAUCAUAUGCAUGCUCCUGGGAGCAUUUUAGGCAGAAUUGGUCACUUUUGCAUGAAAAGUUACAUUGCCACGAGAAAUAUGCUAUUCUCACUCAGAAACGCUGUUUUGAGCUAGAUAUGCUUUAAAACAGCUAGUUUCAUCAUAUGCAUGCUCCUUGGAGCAUUUUAGGCAGAAUUGGUCACUUUUGCAUGAAAAGUUACAUUGCCACUAAAAAUAUGCUAUUCUCACUCAGAAACGCUGUUCUGAGCUAGAUAUGCUUUAAAACAGCUAGUUUCAUCAUUUGCAUGCUCCUGGGAGCAUUUUAGGCAGAAUUGGUCACUUUUGCAUGAAAAGUUACAUUGCCACUAGAAAUAUGCUAUUCUCACUCAGAAACGCUGUUCUGAGCUAGAUAUGCUUUAAAACAGCUAGUUUCAUCAUAUGCAUGCUCCUAGGAGCAUUUUAGGCAGAAUUGGUCACUUUUGCAUGAAAAGUUACAUUGCCACUAGAAAUAUGCUAUUCU